UAAGUUGCAGGGUAUAGACCCGAAACCCGGUGAUCUAGCCAUGGGCAGGUUGAAGGUUGGGUAACACUAACUGGAGGACCGAACCGACUAAUGUUGAAAAAUUAGCGGAUGACCUGUGGCUGGGGGUGAAAGGCCAAUCAAACCGGGAGAUAGCUGGUUCUCCCCGAAAGCUAUUUAGGUAGCGCCUCGUGAAUUCAUCUCCGGGGGUAGAGCACUGUUUCGGCUAGGGGGCCAUCCCGGCUUACCAACCCGAUGCAAACUGCGAAUACCGGAGAAUGUUAUCACGGGAGACACACGGCGGGUGCUAACGUCCGUCGUGAAGAGGGAAACAACCCAGACCGCCAGCUAAGGUCCCAAAGUCAUGGUUAAGUGGGAAACGAUGUGGGAAGGCCCAGACAGCCAGGAUGUUGGCUUAGAAGCAGCCAUCAUUUAAAGAAAGCGUAAUAGCUCACUGGUCGAGUCGGCCUGCGCGGAAGAUGUAACGGGGCUAAACCAUGCACCGAAGCUGCGGCAGCGAACGUAUCACUUAAAGCGAUUCAGCGGGUUACGAUUGACGGAGCGAAGCGACGUCAAAGCGUAUACAAAGUCGAGUCGGUUUAAGGAUACGUUCGUUGGGUAGGGGAGCGUUCUGUAAGCCUGUGAAGGUGUGUCGUGAGGCAUGCUGGAGGUAUCAGAAGUGCGAAUGCUGACAUAAGUAACGAUAAAGCGGGUGAAAAGCCCGCUCGCCGGAAGACCAAGGGUUCCUGUCCAACGUUAAUCGGGGCAGGGUGAGUCGACCCCUAAGGCGAGGCCGAAAGGCGUAGUCGAUGGGAAACGGGUUAAUAUUCCCGUACUUGGUGUUACUGCGAAGGGGGGACGGAGAAGGCUAUGUUGGCCGGGCGACGGUUGUCCCGGUUUAAGCGUGUAGGCUGGUUUUCCAGGCAAAUCCGGAAAAUCAAGGCUGAGGCGUGAUGACGAGG
rnacentral:rRNA from 1 species